AGGGCUAUACUUUCAGGGAUCAUUUCUAAAGUCUUUGAAGGGAGAAAUGGGUCUGAAAGAGUCCAAGCUCACUAUCCACAAUUAUGAGAUUUAGAGCUUUCUUCUGAGCAUGAAAAUGGUUGACAACAUUGUAUUUUUGCAAUGGUUGUCUGCUUUUGAUGACUGUGUUCUUCUUUUUUUCAAAAGAAGUAAUAGAAGAAAGUUCUUUCAAAAUGUUGA